UAACAGUGGAAGAAGAAGCGUAUGAGGAGAUUAAAGAGGAAGAGACGAAAGAUGAGACAGCGAUCUAAGUAGAUUUUCGAACAAACCUGGUUUUGUGUUUUGCUUUCGUUGUUAAAUCCAACUCUGUUUUGAGUUUCAGUUUGAAUGUUUCGUUGGACCAAAUUAAUAUGGAAGUUAUGUUUUCU
rnacentral:sRNA from 1 species